rnacentral:lncRNA from 1 species
AAUGCACUAUAUCAAUUAUUGUUUCUCUUCCUGUACCUUCCCGGUGGAGAAUGUGCAGAACCCUGACAUCAUCCUGACAGGUUGUUCUCCUCUUCCAGCAGAGAAAUCCUUUUGGAGAACAGUAGAAGAAAGAGAAUUGUGCAUUUGGUGGAUCUCGUAGCAUUCUUCACACCGUGGAUGAAGACUAUUUUGAUUGGCGGGCAAAGCAAAAAUGGGCCAAAGUGCAGGAUUUUAAUAUGCACCCUUCUUUUGAAUGUUAAUAUCUUCAACAUUCCAGACAUCCCAGGAAGGUCAGUUCAACCAUCUGAUACUUCAUAAUUGGAAUAACUUGAAUAAUUUGAAUAACUCAUCAUUUGACAGCCUAUAAUGUACUGCUCAUUAACAGUUACUGUACCUCAAAACUUUACAGCUGCCUCAUUUAUUUGAUCUUUUUCUAAAAGUCUUUCCUCGCCAUACUUGUCAGGCAUCAUAACUGACAUGGAAUGGAAACUCCUCUAUUCCUAAUACAACAGCAACAACAUUUUAUUUCCCCAUAAAACCUCAUU